CAACAAGUUGGUCAGUUCGGAUGACACGUGGCGUUGGUUGGCCUUGAGGUCAUCUGUUUUCCGCCCAUUCCCAUCGUUAGUGAAGUCCUUCGGGUCUGAAAGGGGGGUGGAUGAGGUCGUACAAAAGUCAAAUUCCCUGUUCCAUUUCUUCGCGAUAAAAAAAAGCCGGAAGAGGACCCUCGCUCGUGUCUAAUUAGGGUCACAUUAUCGCUCUGGUUUCAUAAAUUUCCUCAUGCAAGGCCUCCCUGAACCAUGGGCUCCCCAGAUGUAACUGGAAACUACUCUAUGGAAAUGAGCUCAUAAAGUUGCAGCCUGCUGGUCCAUGAUGGCCUCCCAAGGGGAAAACCCAAGGCCUUUCGUGUCUAUCUCCAUCUGCACGUGGCGCCAGUGGGUUCCCAUGGCUAUCUCUGAGAGAAUGAACCCAUUCAAAAGCACUCGCACGAACCGGGGGGUUGAACUACUUUUUGUCAGGUGGAAAACUGUCAGAGGCAAUGGACGAGAAAGACCAUCCUCGAGGAAGUGGGCCAUUAGCUCUUCUUUAGAUGGCCAUUUAAAGCCCCCUAAUUCAGAAAAGUGACGGUGGAAAAAGAGGGAUUCCGUGGUCGUCAAAGGUGCCAAAGAGCCAUGACCAGGUUAUUCUCCAUCUCUAUCUUUAGUGCUCCGAAGUUCACACUCUUCAUAAGACCCAUCGAACUUUGGAUCAAGGAAGCUCUUUCAAGUUUCAAGUCAUGUCUAGAAUUCAUUACUCUUUGCACUUCUUCCGAACCUUUGAGUUACAUCAGACGGCUUUGACAACGCAUAAAUCCACUUCUACCCUCCA